CUCAGAUGUGAAUGUUAGGCAUCAUGGCAAAGGGGAAUUUAGGUUCCAGAUAGAAUUAAGGUUGCUAUUCAGCUGCCCUUAAAAUAGGGAGAGCAGCCUUAAUUAUCCAGAUGGGCCCAAUGUAGUCACAAGGGUCCUUAAAUGUAGAAGAAAGAGAAGAGGUCAGAGUGAUGCAACGUUUGAAGAACUUACCCAGCUGUUGCUGGCUUUAAAGACAGAAGAAAAAAGCCAGGAGCCAAGGAAUCUGGGCAGCCAAGUCAGAAAGGGCAAGAAAACAGAUUCUUUCUGAAACCUCCAGGAAGGAGCACAGCCCUGCUGACACCUUAAUUUUAGCCAAGUGUGACCCAUUUAGGACUUCUGAACAACAGAACUAGACCAAGAGAGUGUCCUAGUGGACGGGGGAGAAUCUGGAAUAGGCACAGCUGCCCCUGUGUAAACGAUGAAGAACGUGUUCGUGGAACACCUCAGAGCAGUGCCCUUGUAAGAAGAGAUCAGAGAGUUUGUUUCUCUCUCCCUCAACCUCGUGAGGACACAGUGAAAAGGCCACACCUGGAAACCAGGAAGAGGACGCUCAUCAGGAACCACAUCGGACGGCACCCUGAUCUCAGACUUCCAGUCUCCAGAACUGAACCAGUUAUUUGAUAAGUCAGGCCACUAGUAUCUCCAGCCUUGAGCUAUUUGUGUGAGCCAGAUGCCCUCAAUUCAUCCUUUCAGCGCCUGGAUGCCUUGGACCAAAGACUUCAGACUCCAGGGGUCAUACCCUGAGUCCCAGCCCCAUGUGGGGCAGCCAGAACCUCCACAGGACCUCAAACCAGCCUUGGGUGGGGAGAGAAGAAUGAUGUGCUCACUACACCUUCAAGAAGCAGGGCUAGCACCACUGUGUUGAAGUUUAUUUGGUAACAAUAAUUGCAGUCAAAAUGACUACGCCUGUAUGAAUCACCCCCUCUCUGUGCAGACCCCGAGCUCUAGUUACCCCAUCAUCCCAGUGGGGAAGGUCUCAAAAUCACCCCUUUUCAGUAGGAGAAAUGAGGUUCAGAAAGAUUGGGAAACACGGCCAUGGCCAGAGAGCCACAGAACCAGGGCCUGAACCUGGAUUCCCUGACUUUCUGGCACCACUUCCUUCCCAGGCCUCUGGGGAGGAUGAAGGUCACUGGGCAGCAGGAAAGCAAAACUGCUCCUGGGCCCAGCACAACUUGAGCCACGAUGCAGACCAAGAGAAGGACAGCCAAGGGCAAGCAGUACCAAGGGGGGCAGCAAAUAGGAGAGGAAAUAUGGAAGGGGCCCCCCAGCUCUGGGACCAGGAGGAACCAGAGAGUGUCAUCCAGGGAGAGCCCAGACCUCGGAGUCUAGAGCGAGGUGCAUUUUCAGAUCUCCGGGGAAAAGGGCCUCUCCUGUAGGAAAGCAAUCAUGUGGUCAGGCGGCCAACUUAGGUAGCAUGCAGGGAGGAGUUGGGAGAAAGCUGGGAGGCUGAAAGGCAGGGAGAAGAGAACAAAUCAAAUAGCUAAGAGAAAACAGGUUCGGGUGGCAGCAAUUCAGUAAACAGGGACACAAAGGAUCAGAAAACCAGAAGUUUUUGAAAAGGUAGCUCCUGAGCAGAAUAAUUGUUUUGUAAGGGUGCCUUGGCCACAGUGAUAUGGAAGGUAUAUAGGUUAGAAGAGAUCCUAACAGCAGUGUGUAGGGGUGUGUGUGAUUGUAUGUGUGAAUGUGACCAUAUAUCUUACACGUGAAGGGAUGACUGUGUGUGUGAGACCAUGUGCGUGUGGUGUGUGUGACACUGUGUGAAAUCCUAUGUAUGGUAUGUGGUAUGUGUGUGUAUGACCGUGUGGGGUUGCAGGGUGGGGGACACAGGACUUCAAAGAAAAGAAGUGACCCUACAGAGAUAAGUGCAGUAAAGUUUCAGGUCAUUUUGGGGCUCUUGGGUGGCUCAGUCAGUUAAGUAUCCAACUUUGGCUCAGGUCAUGAUGUGGUUCAUGAGUUCAAGCCCCACAUCAGGCUCUCUGCUGUCAGCACAGAGCUUUUGCUCUCGUUCUCUCUCUCUCUCUCAAAAAUAAAUAAACAUUAAAAAAAAUUUAGAAAGGCUUAGAACCAUGUUUCCUGAUAUGACAUUUUCUCUAUCUUUUUUCCCAGCCCCUCUGCGAUAAUUAUUUUAUAUUUGUUGAAUGUGUACGUUCAUCUUUUCUUCCACCUUAGUAUCUCAUGGGAUGGAUUUCAAGAAACUCCCCUUACCCCUAAGGGUCAGAUUCAAUCUACCCCCAAGCUCAUGCAGGUGUCUGGGAAUGACUGCGGGUCUUCUGGGGAGUGACAGAUGUGACAGCCCAGGCUGCCGAGUAGGAUCCCUGAGGAUCCCUGAGGGGCUUGUGCUGAACCCUAGCACCAUUCUUAGGGAAUAGACCAUUCCAUAUAACGCUUUUCCUCCAGGCUGGGUAGAUCAGAAAACCUACAUUCUAGUCCUGUGGAGUCACUAGCCAGCUGUGUGAAUUACCCACGCCUGAGAGCUGACUUUUCAGCAUCCGUAAAUGAGUCCGCGCUUCCCAAUAUGUGCUCUGUAAACUAUGACUCCCACAAGAUAGUCCAAAAAAGUGGGUUGGUUUUUUGUUUUGUAUUGUUUUGUUUUGUUUGAGAAACUGCAUAAUUUAUUUUCCCUUUCGAGAUUCAGAAUGUCUAUUUGCAUAAUAAAUGUUCUAGAAGCUCUGCUAUAGAGACAUGUUUAAAAUCGUCUGAACCAGAGCUUCCCAAGUUUCUUUGACCCUGAGGCCCCCUUUUCACACAAUACCUAUUCACAUGUCACAGAAUUAGAACGCAGAAUAAUUGCUGGCUCACGUGACCCCUGAGGUUCCUUCCAGUCCAAAAGCCUGUGAUCCUGGCAAGAUAACCAGGGCAAGACUUCCAGAGCAGUGCCUCUUUCCCGGCAUCAUGGACAAGUUUUAUCUGCUUGCUUUCUGCCUGGGUAGCAUCAGGCCCUGCAGAGCACAUAUAUCCCCCAGGGAGCAGUCUCCAAAGCCAGCACACCCCUGGGGUGUUUAAGAUGGUCCGCUGGGACACAGAAGAUAGAGAUUGUAACUCUUACUGACAGUUUUUAUCUAAAAAUAAGGAAGCAAUCAUUUUACUUUAGUAUAUAUGUUUAUAACAGUACAUGUAUAUAAUUUAUAAGUAAAUACACAUAUAGGUACAAUUUCAAAAAAUUGUCAGCGAUAAC